GGAAAAAUGGCGGAGUAGUUUUUCCAGAGUUAAAUUUUUUUUCCUCAAAAAUAGUUGUUUUUGCUCUAUUUUGAGUGUACAGAGUAAAAUUUAUCCGUAGAGUGGGAGCAAAAUUACAGAGUAACUGUGACUCCUCCCCAAUUUACUCUCAUCCCUUCGUUGAUCCGCCAUUACUGUUAAUCACGGCCAUCGACUGCUGCUGCUUUGGGUUUAGAAGACGGCACGCUUCUGCUGGAUGGUAAAGAUGUAAACCAACAACAUUGUCAGAAUGAAGUUCAAAGAAAUAUUUUUUUUUUUCUUCAAAACCUUUUACAUUUCAAAUGUUUUGGGAACGUGAAAAAGCCCUUCCUGUAGUUUAAAGGAAGAAUCUGCGAAGAGAAUCAUCUCCCUAUUCCUAUGCUUGGUUGACCCCAGGAGCAAGUUUCGUUAUGUUGGAACAGCAAAUUGUCUUCCAUUUUGAUGCUGGUUCACCUUUUGCCACCCUCUCAAGUCACCGCCAUGUAAGACCGGGAAAGAUCUCAGCUAGGCAAACGUGAUCGUCUUGUGAAAUUCAUCAAGACUGUUACCAGUAUCCAAGGGCAGUUGGAUGGCUUUUGAGAGAGUCUCCAGCUGUAUCUACUUGUUGUUGGGCUGAUGAGAAGUAGGGUCCAGUCUUGUUUUAUUGUAAUUGUCCAAUAUGCUCUACUCUGUAAGACCUGUCCAUUGUGUAUAGCUUUCUGCAAAACACUGUCUAUGAUAUAGAUGCAGAAACCACCAAAUGAUCAUGAUCACAAGUGUAAUAUUGUAAAUGUAAGUGUAUUAUUUAAAUAGGAGAUUGAAAAAAU